rnacentral:rRNA from 1 species
UGCUCAGGAUGAACGCUAGCGGCAGGCUUAACACAUGCAAGUCGAGGGGUAACAGGGUUGCUUGCAACCGCUGACGACCGGCGCACGGGUGCGUAACGCGUAUAGAACCUACCUUUUACUGAGGGAUAGCCCAGAGAAAUUUGGAUUAAUACCUCAUGGUAUUGUGAAGUGGCAUCACUUUAUAAUUAAAGAUUUAUUGGUAAGAGAUGGCUAUGCGUUCUAUUAGCUAGUUGGUAUGGUAACGGCAUACCAAGGCUACGAUAGAUAGGGGUCCUGAGAGGGAGAUCCCCCACACUGGUACUGAGACACGGACCAGACUCCUACGGGAGGCAGCAGUGAGGAAUAUUGGACAAUGGAGGCAACUCUGAUCCAGCCAUGCCGCGUGCAGGAAGACUGCCCUAUGGGUUGUAAACUGCUUUUAUAGAGGAAGAAUUGCCAAUACGUGUAUUGGUUUGACGGUACUCUACGAAUAAGGAUCGGCUAACUCCGUGCCAGCAGCCGCGGUAAUACGGAGGAUCCAAGCGUUAUCCGGAAUCAUUGGGUUUAAAGGGUCCGUAGGCGGGUUUAUAAGUCAGUGGUGAAAGUUUGCGGCUCAACCGUAAAAUUGCCAUUGAUACUGUAGAUCUUGAAUUAUUGUGAAGUGGUUAGAAUAAGUAGUGUAGCGGUGAAAUGCAUAGAUAUUACUUAGAAUACCGAUUGCGAAGGCAGAUCACUAACAAUUGAUUGACGCUAAGGGACGAAAGCGUGGGUAGCGAACAGGAUUAGAUACCCUGGUAGUCCACGCCGUAAACGAUGGUUACUAGCUGUUCGGACUUCGGUCUGAGUGGCUAAGCGAAAGUGAUAAGUACCCACCUG